AGUUUUGUGUAACGGCCUUGACGGAAGACGGAUAGGCAACACGCCAACACGCUCUCCUCGCCGACCGCCGCGCGGCGUGUUCUCACCGCCGAUCCCGGUGGCGCCGCUCUAGAGAGGCGAGGAGAUCUCCUCGCCGCCUCUCAUCCUCGAGCAUCGCCUUUCCCCCUUUUCCUCGCUGAUGCUUGUAGGAAGGCUCUCGACCUACUCUGCUCGCUGAUGCUUGUAGUUGUAGGAAGGCUCUCGACCUACUCUGCUCGCCGGGCCGCCGCAGAACGAGCGCACGGCCACCUCGUCGCGGUGCCGCUCUGGUGGAGGUGCGUGGUCUGUUCCUCGUGGAUGUGCGACGAUCCAGCUUGCACCUCUUGCUAGCACCGCCGUCCGUUGCCAUCGACGACGAGGCGCCCGCCGGAAUGAUGCCGCCCCUAUAGACGCCGAUCUUCUCCCAGGCCGGUUGCGCCAUGUCGAAGUGCGGUCGUGGUAUGUUGCACCAACCACCAUUGUCAUUUGGAAGGGCAUUGUUGGGUGGGCAGAGGUUUGUGGCCGUGACUGUCACCGUCACACCCGGUUUACACCACCUUGGGUCCACCUUGCGGUCGCAUGCAAUUUUAUAGCAUUGUCCGCAUGCCGCGCCGUCGUUGAAGAGCACCGUGCUCAGCGCCGCCGUCCGGGUUCCAUACCCCUCAGAGUACAGGUUGCCGUACCCACACGCGCCGCCUGCAUAACUUAGUAAUUAGUUAAUUGACAACAUGCUUUUGGCGCAGACGUAUAAUUGAAUUGACCAUGAGUUUAUACUCCUACUUAAUAAGCUAAUUACCCAUGGUGCCGGAGGCAUCAGCUCCACCGUAGAACGUCGCGUGCGCCCUCUGCCAGACGACCGGUGCUUGGGGCGACGAUGCGACUACAGCCAAGGCCGUACAGCCCACGGUGAGCAGAACCACCGCAGUAACUUGAGCUGGAGUCGGUGCCAUAUCUGGCGCUGGAAAGCUAGAUCGAUGGCCUUGAAAACUAAUCUGACGAAAGCUAGAAGUCCUUGCUCGCUAAUGUGUUUGUUCUUUUGUCAAUGUGGAUUUGCUUCUGCUGCCUUUGGUGAUCUUGUGAUGAUUCUGUGCGUGUGUGUGUAUAUAGCCUUCGCUUGUGAUCAAUACGUUGCAGGAGGGAUGAAGAAGCAGCUAGCGUGCGCAUGUGCUUGGUCGUGCAGCCGCACCAUAGCUUACGGGCUAAUCCGAAUAUAAUUUUUUUUCCGAAUAUUAAAUGUACUUAUGGGCGAAAUCUAUAUUCUUAUCCCCUUACUUUGUGGAUCUUCGCUUGAAAUUUUCUCCAUGAAUGACAUUUAGAGAGGAUAUUUGCUCGGUA